rnacentral:lncRNA from 1 species
CCGGGGAGCAGUCGAGGCUUGUGUUCUUCAGCGGACUUGCCAAAUCAUCCCCUCCAGCAUGCUGCUCUCUCCCUUCCACAGAUCAUCUGUUAAGAAAAUACAUUUUUCAUGUCGUUAAUUUACAUAUACAUGUGCAUUAUAUAUAUGUUUAUACAAUGAGAGAUUGUUAGGAAAAUCACUACCACAUAUACAUGCAUUAUAUAUAUUACAUAUACAUACAUAUGCAUUAUAUAUAUACCUGCACACACAUGCAUAUGGAAAAUUGUUAGGAAAAACAGCACAGUGGUAGUGUUAGUGCUGGUUGUCUUUCGGUGGUGAGAUUAUACAUUUUUUUCUAUAAUUUUCUGUAUUUUCCUAAUUUUCUGUGAUCCAUAUAUGUUUUUAAUCAUCAAAAGAUGUUGAAAUUUAAACCAUGUUCUACGUACAUUUUACAUCCCCAUUUAAAGCUUUCUCAUGGUUCUCCAUGGCCUGCAGGAUGAUGCUUGAUGUUCAGCUUAAGAGCUUCCUCUCCUCACUUCCCACCCCUCUGUCACUUGUAGCUCAUGCCCUAAUAAUACCAGAGUGUUUCCUGUGCACACCCAGCUGAUUCACGUCUCUUUGUCUUUGCUCACAUGUCUACCUCCACCUGGAAGAUAAUUUCCCUUCCCCUGGCGACCUUCACACCACCCUUCUCUCCUCAGAGCAGGCACAGCUGCCCAGGAAACAUUUCUGGUUGAGCCUUCCAUGGGCCCUAACUGCAUUUUACCCUGAAGAUGAAAUGAUCUGUGCUUCUGUCUACCCUCCUUUCUGGACGGUUUUUGCAAUCUCCAGGAACGCCAGGCCACAUGAUUGAAACAGUUGUUCAAUUUUUCUUGCUGAAGAUGGUGAACUGGGUUAAGUUUAGAAACAACCAUAGCUGGAAAAAGUAUGACUUUGUUAGCUGCUUACUUCCUUUUCAGAGAAAAAAUACUUUUCUAGUUUCUUUCUUUAGUUACAAAAAUAAUAUGUGCUAAUUAUAACAAGCCAAUCAAUGGAGAGGCCUGCGGAUAUGAAGUUCAUAGUCAUUCAUUCACUCUUCUGCAGAGUGGCUCCCCAAGGCAGCCAACAUUGACAAGCAGGCUUGUGUGUUUCCACACUGUCUCUUGAGCGAGGCUUAUUUAGUCUACACUUGCCUCCUUUAAAGCUGUUCACAAGCAGAUGAGGAUCAAUCUCGGAUUCUAGAAGGAAGAACCCAGCCCCUACUGUUAGAAGGAGCAGUGAAGGCGGCAGGUCAAAGCACAGCCUGGAGCCGACUGUCUGUGUCCAAAUCCCACUUCACCACUUGCUGCAUAACUGGAGCAGAUGAUUCAGCUUUUCUCUGCCUUAACUGACUCAUGUAAAUGGGGAUAUUAAAAUAUCACAUAUGGAUUAUUAUAUUGACUAGGAAGUUAAUGCAAUACAGCAUGCAUAGCAGUUAGUAAGCACUCAAUAAAUGGUAGAUAUUAUUAUUUUCUCUCUUGUGGGAGCAACAAAAGUGAAAAGAAUGACCCUUUGGUAACUGGGGAUCUGAGUAUACACAGACUGUACCAAUCAUAACCACAAUCACCAAAAAAACUACAUUUGUGGAGGCUUAGUGUUAACACAGUCCCAAAACACUUCAUCUAUUGAUUCCCUUAUAUGGCUAGAAUUUAACAUUAAUUCUUUUUUCAUUUUUCAGGAAUAAUAAAGAACAUCAAUAAAAUUAUAGGCAUAAUUUUUAAACAAUUUUAUUGAAGAAUAAUUAUAUGUAAUAAAAUUCACUGGCCGGGUGCAGUGGCUCAUGCCUGUAAUCUCACCACUUUGGGAGGCCAAGGCGGGGGGAUUACUUGAGGCCAAAGUUUAAGACCAGCUUGGGCAAAAAAGCAAAAGCCUGUCUUUACUCUCUCUCUCUCUCUCUCUCUCCAUAUAUAUAUAUAUAUAUAUAUAUAUAUAUAUAUAUAUAUAUAUAUUUUUUUUUUUUUUUUUUUUUUUUUUUUUUAAAUAGCCAGGUGUAGUGGUGUGCGCCUCAAGUCCCAGCUACUUUCAAGGGGCUGAGGUAAGAGGAUUGCUUGAGCCCAGUAGUUGCAGGCUGCAAUGAGCUAUGAUCCCACCACUGUACUCCAGCCUGGGUGACAGAGUGAGACCUUGUCUCUAAAAAUAAAUAAAUAAGUAAAUACAAAUUUUUAAAAAUAAAAAUUCAUCCAUUUUAAGAAUACAAUUAAAUAAGUUUUAGUAAAUUUACCAAGCUGUGCAACCAUCACCACAACCCAGUUUCAGAACAUUUACAUCACCCUUGGAAGCUCCCUCAUGCCUGUUUACAGUUAACCCCAGUUCCUAUCCCCAGCUCUGGGCACCAUUAAUCUACUACUCUCUGUCUCUAUGACUUUGCUUUUUCUGGACACUUCAUAUAAAUGGAUUAUGCAGUAUGUGGCCUUUUGUAUCUGACUUAUUUCGUUAACAUAAUGUUUUAAAGAUCCAUCUACACUGAAGUACGUAUCAGUAUGUGUUCCUUUGUACUGAGGAACUGUAUUCCACUGUAUGGAUAUACCACAGUUUGUUCAUCCAUUCGACAAUGGAUGGACAGUUGGUUGUGUCCACUUUUUAGCUAUUAUGAAUAAUGUCACUAUGAACAUUUGUGUACAAGUUUUUGGGUGGACUUACGUUUUUAUUUCUCUUGGGUAGAUACAUAGAAGUGAAUAUAGUACAUUUAUAUUUAACUUUUUGAAACUAUUAAACUGUUUUCUACAGUGAUCGCACCAUUUUAUAUUCCCACCAGCAAUGUGUGAAGGUUCUACAGGUCUAAACUUAAAGGUCAAAAUAGAAAGAAGAUCUAAAAAUACAUGAAUUCAAGUGCUGAAUGUCCGUUCUCUGACACUGGUUAUCUUCUAAACUCCCCUUUAAUGAAAGGACAGGGAGAAUCCUUCCCCUGCCUUCCCCAGAUUCUCAUUUCCCAUAUUUUGCUGUUUGGCUAAGUGGGGGCUCCCUCACCUCAUUUAGUCCUGCUAAUUCAGGGAAAGCAACCCUGUGCUCCUCCACUCCUAGCAACCCUAAGAGGCUAUCUAAAGUGGAAAGAACAUUUUACAAAUGCAAAUUCAGUCCUUGGGUAUGGCAAGAGAAGAGUUAAUGCAGUUUGUAAUAAUUAUUGACUACAAGAACUGCAAAUGAUUGCAUAAAAUUUCUAAAAUAUGCCUGCAAGGUUCUCUUAUUGAUGUGUUGCCCCCAGGGGUACACAUAUGGGUUUAAGUGUCUAAACUGUUUUAUUAAUUAAAUUGCUAUGAUUUACCUCUCCCAUGUUAGCAUUUACAGUUUAUGAAACAGCCCUGUAAUUAGAAAAUGAUGUACUAGUGUUGCUUGUUUACUUUGUGGGUGAAAUAUUAUACACACACAGAUGUGUAUGUGUAUAUAUAUACACUCACUUAUAUAUGUUUAUAGACACACACAUGUGCACGCGCGCACACACACACACAAAGUGUUUUUUCUUGGGUCAACCCUCAUAGGCUACUUUAUUUCUAGUCCAAUUAAUAGGCAACCUCCAGUGGUGCAUUAAAUUGGUUUUUAGCGGGAGGGGGAGGAUAACUGAGAAGUUCAUUGUUCCUGCUGAGGUGUGUCAUGGCAUCCAUGUAUGUUUGUUUAUUUUCCCUCCAUAGACAGACAAUUGAAAUCACAAGAAUUUAUUGUAAAAAAAAAAAUCUGUUGAGAACAGCCCUGAGGAUACUUCAGCAAAUCCUAAAACUGUACCUACUUUAAUUAUACAGCAUCUUAUUAUCUUCUGCGUCCAUUCUGAAGGUAUAUGUAGGAAUAUAUAAUAUAAAUUACCUGUGCUACAUAGACAAUGCCUAAAUAAAGUUGUUGUUGAAGUGCUU